rnacentral:rRNA from 1 species
GACGAACGCUGGCGGCGUGCUUAACACAUGCAAGUCGAACGAAGUGGCGAACGGGUGAGUAAUACGUGGGUAACCUGCCCUCCUUUUUGGGAUAAGCCUUGGAAACGGGGUCUAAUACCGAAUAAAGGGGGAUGGGCUCGGGGCCUAUCAGCUUGUUGGGGGGGUGAUGGCCUACCAAGGCGGUGACCGGGAGCCGGCCUGAGAGGGUGACCGGCCAAAUUGGGACUGAGAUACGGCAGAGACGACUACGGGAGGCAGGAGUGGGGAAUAUUGGGCAAUGGGCGCAAGACUGACCCAGCAACGCGGAGUGAAGGAAGACGGUCUUCGGAUUGUAAACUUCUGUAGACAGGGACGGUACCUGUAGAAUAAGCCACGGCUAACUACGUGCCAGCAGCCGCGGUAAUAC